GUGCUCACCUCAGCAGCACGUGUACUAAAAUUGGAACAAUGUAGAGAAGAUUAGCCCGGCCCCCGUGCAGGGAUAACAUAAAUUUGAGGAGCGUUCUAUAUUUUA